GUAGGUGAACCUGCGGAAGGAUCAUUACAGUGCCGCCGGGACGUGCCCCCUAAAAAGGGUGCGCCCCGCAAUCUGGCCACACUUGUCUACCGAACCUCGUUGCUUAGGCGGGCCCGUCGGCCCCGAGCGCUCUCCCUCGGGGGGGCUGCAAGGGGACGACCGCCUGUGGGUGGCCGUGACUCACGGUCAUCCCUCGCCAGUGCCCGCCAAAAGACCCUUGGAACCCUUUGCUGAUCAGUGACUGUCUGAGUAAAUAUUUAAUUAAUUAAAACUUUCAACAACGGAUCUCUUGGUUCCAGCAUCGAUGAAGAACGCAGCGAAAUGCGAUAAGUAAUGUGAAUUGCAGAAUUCCGUGAAUCAUCGAAUCUUUGAACGCACAUUGCGCCCUCUGGUAUUCCGGGGGGCAUGCCUGUCCGAGCGUCAUUUCAACCCUCAAGCCCGGCUUGUGUGAUGGGCGCCCGUCCCGAUUGGGGGACGAGCCCGAAAGGCAGUGGCGGCGUCGCGGUUAUCCGAUUUGCCUGAGCGUAUGGGGCUUCUGUCACACGCAACUGGCUAGGACCGGCGCCUGCCGAAAACACCAUUUUUUCUAGGUUGACCUCGGAUCAGGUAGGGAUACCCGCUGAACUUAA
rnacentral:rRNA from 1 species